AAGGAAUAUUGGUCAAUGGACGCAAGUCUGAACCAGCCAUGCCGCGUGGAGGAUGAAGGUCCUCUGGAUUGUAAACUUCUUUUAUCUGGGACGAAAAAAGGGAAUUCUUUCUCGUCUGACGGUACCAGAUGAAUAAGCACCGGCUAACUCCGUGCCAGCAGCCGCGGUAAUACGGAGGGUGCAAGCGUUAUCCGGAUUCACUGGGUUUAAAGGGUGCGUAGGCGGGUAUGUAAGUCCGUGGUGAAAUCUCCGAGCUUAACUCGGAAACUGCCAUGGGUACUGCGUAUCUUGAAUGUUGUGGAGGUGAGCGGAAUAUGUCAUGUAGCGGUGAAAUGCUUAGAUAUGACAUAGAACACCAAUUGCGAAGGCAGCUCACUACACAAAUAUUGACGCUGAGGCACGAAAGCGUGGGGAUCAAAC
rnacentral:rRNA from 1 species